rnacentral:rRNA from 1 species
AACGAAUGCUGGCGGCAGGCCUAACACAUGCAAGUCGAACGAGAAACUUACCUUCGGGUGAGUGGAAAGUGGCAGACGGGUGAGUAACGCGUGGGAACCUACCAAAAGGUACGGGACAACCACUGGAAACGGUGGCUAAUACCGUAUGUGCCCCUUCGGGGGGAAAGAUUUAUCGCCUUUUGAUGGGCCCGCGUUGGAUUAGUUUGUUGGUGGGGUAACGGCCUACCAAGACUACGAUCUAUAGCUGUUCUGAGAGGAAGAUCAGCCACACUGGGACUGAGACACGGCCCAGACUCCUACGGGAGGCAGCAGUGGGGAAUCUUGCACAAUGGGCGAAAGCCUGAUGCAGCCAUGCCGCGUGAGUGAAGAAGGCCCUAGGGUUGUAAAGCUCUUUCGCUAGGGAAGAUAAUGACGGUACCUAGUAAAGAAGCCCCGGCUAACUCCGUGCCAGCAGCCGCGGUAAUACGGAGGGGGCUAGCAUUGUUCGGAAUUACUGGGCGUAAAGCGCGCGUAGGCGGAUUAACAAGUUGGGGGUGAAAUCCCGGAGCUCAACUCCGGAACUGCCUUCAAAACUGUUAGUCUAGAGUUCGAGAGAGGUGAGUGGAAUUCCUAGUGUAGAGGUGAAAUUCGUAGAUAUUAGGAAGAACACCAGUGGCGAAGGCGGCUCACUGGCUC